rnacentral:rRNA from 1 species
CCUACGGGAGGCAGCAGUGGGGAAUUUUGGACAAUGGGCGCAAGCCUGAUCCAGCAAUGCCGCGUGAGUGAAGAAGGCCUUCGGGUUGUAAAGCUCUUUUGUCAGGGAAGAAACGGUGGAGGCUAAUAUCCUUUGCUAAUGACGGUACCUGAAGAAUAAGCACCGGCUAACUACGUGCCAGCAGCCGCGGUAAUACGUAGGGUGCAAGCGUUAAUCGGAAUUACUGGGCGUAAAGCGUGCGCAGGCGGUUUUGUAAGUUUGUCGUGAAAUCCCCGGGCUCAACCUGGGAAUGGCGAUGAAGACUGCAAGGCUAGAAUCUGGCAGAGGGGGGUAGAAUUCCACGUGUAGCAGUGAAAUGCGUAGAGAUGUGGAGGAACACCGAUGGCGAAGGCAGCCCCCUGGGUCAAGAUUGACGCUCAUGCACGAAAGCGUGGGGAGCAAACAGGAUUAGAUACCCUGGUAGUCCACGCCCUAAACGAUGUCUACUAGUUGUCGGGUUUUAAUUAACUUGGUAACGCAGCUAACGCGUGAAGUAGACCGCCUGGGGAGUACGGUCGCAAGAUUAAAACUCAAAGUGUAAGUGACGUGUAGAGUAGCGACGAGCACGACGGAGGUUAGG